GCUGGGCAUGGUGGCGCGUGCCUGUAAUCCCAGCUACUCAGGAGGCUGAGGCAGGAGAAUUGCCUGAACCCAGGAGGCGGAGGUUGCGGUGAGCCGAGAUCGCGCCAUUGCACUCCAGCCUGAGUGAAACUCCAUCUCAAAAAAAAAAAAAAAAGAAUUAUGUGUAUCUUACUUCUUUUUUUUUUUUUUUUUUUGAGACUGAGUUUUACUCUUGUUACCCAGGCUCGAGUGCAAUGGCACGAUCUCGGCUCACCGCAACCUGCGCCUCCUGAGUUCAGGCAGUUCUUCUGCCUCA
rnacentral:SRP_RNA from 1 species